rnacentral:rRNA from 1 species
CCUACGGGUGGCAGCAGUGGGGAAUAUUGCACAAUGGGGGAAACCCUGAUGCAGCGACGCCGCGUGAGUGAAGCAGUAUUUCGGUAUGUAAAGCUCUAUCAGCAGGGCAGAAAAUGACGGUACCUGACUACGAAGCCCCGGCUAACUACGUGCCAGCAGCCGCGGUAAUACGUAGGGGGCAAGCGUUAUCCGGAUUUACUGGGUGUAAAGGGAGCGUAGACGGCCAGACAAGUCAGAAGUGAAAGCCCCGGGCUCAACCCUGGGACUGCUUUUGAAACUGCCGGGCUGGAGUGCAGGAGAGGUAAGCGGAAUUCCGAGUGUAGCGGUGAAAGGCGGAGAUAUUAGGAGGAACACCAGUGGCGAAGGCGGCUUACUGGACUGUAACUGACGUUGAGGCUCGAAAGCGUGGGGAGCAAACAGGAUUAGAUACCCUUGUAGUC